UGAAAUUUGCUCAUCCAUAAUGCAUGUGGGAUGUUUGGAGAAAAGAUGUAGAUGGUGGUGAUACAUAGGUGCGGGUGGCUUUGUUUUGCCUGAACCCAGUCAUGAUACGCCAUCGCCAUGUCGGUAUUUAGAACGGAAUUUGUUGAUGAAGAUGGUGACCUUUGCCUUGUCGGUGCCCAGUCAUGUAUCCAAGAAUUCAUCGAACAUGGACAUGUGUAUGUUGCUUUCGCCUCGUUGGUGCCCAGCAACGAAGUGUCCGAUCCCGAUUGGGAUUGUGACAUGUUAAUGGAAUAUAGUGACCUGGCCGUGUUGGCACUUGGACAUGAUUUUGUCUAGCCUUGUCGGCACUAGACAUGAGAUGGGUAUGAUGGAUUUGACCAUAACCACAUGGAGAUUAGGCCAUAGAUUUGAGAUAGACCAUUGAUAGAGCAUAUCUUUUCUCCUUUAUUUUAAGAAUCAGGGGUUACACACCGCCGAUAUAGAUGAAGCAAUCGACGAUGUAUUUUUGUGAGGAUUUUCAUCUACUCCGCAUGGGCGACGUUGAUGAAGCGAUCGUGCCAUGGUCGUAGGUUUCCGCAUGGGCGACGUUGGUGAGGCGGUCGUGCCAUGGUUGUAUAUUUUUACAUGGGCGACUUUGAUGAGGCAGUCGUGCCAUGGAUGUAAAUCUCCGCAUGGGCGACGUUGAUGAGGCGGUCGUGCCAUGGUUGUAUAUUUUACAUGGGCGACGUUGGUGAGGCGGUCGUGCCAUGGUUGUAUAUUUUUACAUGGACGACUUUGAUGAGGCGGUCGUGCCAUGAUAAAGAUUUAUGGAAUAGCCAAGUAGACAUCAUCCUUCUUCCAUCACACAAAGCUCAUUGAUGCGGUCAGAUCUUAUAACUUACCAUCAAGGCCAAUGGUUUUGGCAAAGAUCAGCAUGUUGAUGAAGCUUCGGCGUCGUCCGCGGUCGACGAAACUUUUACGGUGAACAUUGAGAAGGGGAAAAAAGGGGCGUGGAGUUGGCGGCGUGCUUGAGGGCGAGAGCUUUGGCUGGUG
rnacentral:lncRNA from 1 species